rnacentral:rRNA from 1 species
UACGUAGGGGGCAAGCGUUGUCCGGAAUCAUUGGGCGUAAAGCGCGUGUAGGCGGUCCGGUAAGUCCGCUGUGAAAACCCGAGGCUUAACCUCGGGACGCCGGCGGAAACCAUCUGGCUAGAGUCCGGAAGAGGAGAGUGGAAUUCCUGGUGUAGCGGUGAAAUGCGCAGAUAUCAGGAAGAACACCCAUGGCGAAGGCAGCUCUCUGGGACGGUACUGACGCUGAGACGCGAAAGCGUGGGGAGCGAACGGG